rnacentral:lncRNA from 1 species
GUUUUUGCAUCCGACCAAGAUAAAUUCACUCUAGUGCUUUAUGGCUUUUUAUUCCUAUGUGAUAGUAAUAAAGUCUCAUGUAGGGAUGGAAGCCAUGAAAUACAUUGUGAAAAAUCAUCAACUAAGAAGGGGCCAUCAGUAUAGAGCACGGUAGCCUGUGGAGCUGUGGACGGGAUGGAGCGAUGACCUAGUGUAUAGCUCUGCGACAUGCUUGGUGUUCCUGAGUUUCUUUAUUCUUAGAUUUUUGACGGCUGAGGAAUCUAGGUGCCAAGAGUUGGUUCAUCUUCGUUAUCAUUGAUUAACAUGUACAUUCGGGAUAGCGCAUUUCUGUUUAUCAUACGUUUUUCUCCGUUCUCUACUAAUGAACAUCCUCUAGGGGAGCUAUGGUAACCCACCACUCUGGUAGGCAGCAUUCAAUCCUUCUAUGCCUUUUUUCCGUCAACUGUUGAGGUCUUACUUCUGAAACAGAAGAAAUAAACAAGUCAGAUUUACCUUCUUGGAAAUGUGGUCCAGAUUUCUCUACUCCCAAGCUCCAAAAAAAAAAAAAAAAAAGGUAUACGUUGUAUGGGUUAGGGCAACACCUCUUGAAUGCCAUCAAUCCACUGAGCUGUUUUGUGCUGCAGGGAGUGGGGUGGUGGAAGACUGAUGACAGAGAAAGGAAGGCAGACUUUGGAGUGGAGCUGGAUUCUAGUUGCUCCAACUUCAGCUGUGUGAUUUGGGGCAAGGGAUUUAAACUGGGUGGGCCUCUUUCCUUAUCUUGAAAAUGGGGAGCAGCAAUUCCAACUUUGUAAGACUAUUGUGAGGAUAAAAUGCAUGUAGAACCUAACAAAGUAUUUAACAUUAUAUCUUUUUUAAAGCUCAUGAAAUAUUAGUUUUUCUUCCUUCCUUCCCUCUCCUCCUAUUCCCUUCUCUCUCCCUCCUGUACCCUCCCCUCCUUCAGAUGUUAGUCUAAGACAACACUUUUGGAUGUAAGCAGCACCUUGAGAAAGAAAAGACUUCUUCAAGAAUGUCUUGUUCCACCUCCUUUUCAUAUGGGCCUUAAAUGCCCGGGUUGGAUCAAUAGUUUAAUUUAUAUAUAUUUUUUGUACUUGAAUUGUUAAAAAUUCACUGCUCACUUAUAUUCAUUUUGACUGUUUUCUGUAUGUUUAUUUUUGCUGGAACUGUUUUAAUAUUGAAUAUUGACAAGUACUUAUUUUUACUGGCUUUCUGUAUUUUUU